GUCUAUGACCAUACCACCCUGAACACACCCAAUGUUGUCUGAUCUUGGAAGCUGAGCAGGGUAGGCCCUGGUGAGUACUUGGUUGAGAAGAAUAAAAGCCAGACUAGAAUGGAUU
ensembl:rRNA 5S_rRNA 5S ribosomal RNA